rnacentral:rRNA from 1 species
GAUGAACGCUAGCGACAGGCUUAACACAUGCAAGUCGAGGGGCAGCGGGGGAGUAGCAAUACUCCCGCCGGCGACCGGCGCACGGGUGAGUAACACGUAUGCAACCUGCCCGCCACAGGGGGAUAAGCGGAAGAAAUUCCGUCUAAUACCGCGUGACGCGGCGCCGGGGCAUCCCGGUGCCGCCAAAGGGAUUACCGGUGGCGGAUGGGCAUGCGGCGCAUUAGCUAGUCGGCGGGGUAACGGCCCACCGAGGCGACGAUGCGUAGGGGUUCUGAGAGGAAGGUCCCCCACACUGGUACUGAGACACGGACCAG